rnacentral:rRNA from 1 species
GGACGAACGCUGGCGGCGUGCCUAAUACAUGCAAGUCGAGCGGACCGACGGGAGCUUGCUCCCUUAGGUCAGCGGCGGACGGGUGAGUAACACGUGGGUAACCUGCCUGUAAGACUGGGAUAACUCCGGGAAACCGGGGCUAAUACCGGAUGCUUGAUUGAACCGCAUGGUUCAAUCAUAAAAGGUGGCUUUUAGCUACCACUUGCAGAUGGACCCGCGGCGCAUUAGCUAGUUGGUGAGGUAACGGCUCACCAAGGCGACGAUGCGUAGCCGACCUGAGAGGGUGAUCGGCCACACUGGGACUGAGACACGGCCCAGACUCCUACGGGAGGCAGCAGUAGGGAAUCUUCCGCAAUGGACGAAAGUCUGACGGAGCAACGCCGCGUGAGUGAUGAAAGUUUUCGGAUCGUAAAACUCUGUUGUUAGGGAAGAACAAGUACCGUUCGAAUAGGGCGGCACCUUGACGGUACCUAACCAGAAAGCCACGGCUAACUACGUGCCAGCAGCCGCGGUAAUACGUAGGUGGCAAGCGUUGUCCGGAAUUAUUGGGCGUAAAGCGCGCGCAGGCGGUUUCUUAAGUCUGAUGUGAAAGCCCCCGGCUCAACCGGGGAGGGUCAUUGGAAACUGGGGAACUUGAGUGCAGAAGAGGAGAGUGGAAUUCCACGUGUAGCGGUGAAAUGCGUAGAGAUGUGGAGGAACACCAGUGGCGAAGGCGACUCUCUGGUCUGUAACUGACGCUGAGGCGCGAAAGCGUGGGGAGCGAACAGGAUUAGAUACCCUGGUAGUCCACGCCGUAAACGAUGAGUGCUAAGUGUUAGAGGGUUUCCGCCCUUUAGUGCUGCAGCAAACGCAUUAAGCACUCCGCCUGGGGAGUACGGUCGCAAGACUGAAACUCAAAGGAAUUGACGGGGGCCCGCACAAGCGGUGGAGCAUGUGGUUUAAUUCGAAGCAACGCGAAGAACCUUACCAGGUCUUGACAUCCUCUGACAACCCUAGAGAUAGGGCUUUCCCCUUCGGGGGCAGAGUGACAGGUGGUGCAUGGUUGUCGUCAGCUCGUGUCGUGAGAUGUUGGGUUAAGUCCCGCAACGAGCGCAACCCUUGAUCUUAGUUGCCAGCAUUCAGUUGGGCACUCUAAGGUGACUGCCGGUGACAAACCGGAGGAAGGUGGGGAUGACGUCAAAUCAUCAUGCCCCUUAUGACCUGGGCUACACACGUGCUACAAUGGGCAGAACAAAGGGCAGCGAAGCCGCGAGGCUAAGCCAAUCCCACAAAUCUGUUCUCAGUUCGGAUCGCAGUCUGCAACUCGACUGCGUGAAGCUGGAAUCGCUAGUAAUCGCGGAUCAGCAUGCCGCGGUGAAUACGUUCCC